CGCACCGCUUCCUAUCCGCCUCCCGGGUUCUGAGCCCACCCGCCCUUUCCCGCCCCGGCGUCCCUCUCCCCGCCCCCAGGACCCUGGCUGGAAGGGAAGAUUCUCACUCUUUCCUCUCCUGGAUCCCAGAACUUGUCCUGAGCACCCUUUCCACGCUUAGCUUCCUUGUCUGCUGUCCGGUUUUUGCCUCCGUGUUCUCAAGCCGCUCUGCAGAUCAGAAUACCGGGCAUUUUUAUAAGCAUGCGGGCCUCUCACUGUUGUGGCCUCUCCCGUUGUGGAGCACAGGCUCUGGACGCGCAGGUUCAGCGGCCACGGCUCACCGGCCCAGCCACUCCGCAGCAUGUGGGAUCUUCCCAGACCGGGGCACGAACCCGCGUCCCCUGCCUCGGCAGGCGGACUCUCAACCACUGCGCCACCAGGGAAGCCCUGUAAUGAAUCUUUUACUUUGGACAGAAAUGAAGAGAGAGACCUACUUACCUGCUGGCUGGGGGCAGCCCUGAUGAAGCUACUCUGCGAUGAUCCCGCAGUGGUUCUUGCCCAGCUUCCCACCAGCCGCCCCGCUUCUGGCAUCUACCCUCUCCAUUCCCUUCAUCCCAUGCUUGGCUGGCAUCUUGAACAAUCUAAAUCAUAGGUCCUGCCUAAUUCAAUGUUCUAUUGCUCUCUCUGCCUGCCGAGUUCACCACCCCUCCCCCGUGUGUCAACGGAGAUGUCCCUGGACAUGUCCGCAUUUUUCUCUCCGUCCUUCAGUCACUGGGUUACUCACUGCCUUCCCUUGAGUAGACCCUCACAUCUUCACCUCUGAACCUUUGGCCAAGCUGUUUUCUCCUUCCAGAAAUCCCUCCUACACCCCCUUCUCUGGAGUUGUCACUCAUCUGGGGAAAACACUGAUUUAAUCUAGAAAGGACCUGCCUGAGAACAAAGCUAGUGUGGAGCAGACUGAUCUGGGAGAGGCUGAGAGCUGAGAUGUCACCAGAUUGGUCACCCCCAUUUCAGCUCUUCCACUGUCCCUGAAAUGAGGCACAUGGGUAUGAUUUUCACUGUCAGUGAACGGGGAGUGGAAGUGAUUUGUGUCCCUUCCAGAUGGGGACUUUAACAGCCAGCCUGUAAUUCACCUCCUGUCCUGAUCAUUCUUAGCCCAGCCACACUGACGACUCCAGAUGGUAGAAACUCCAUCCCCUGGGCCCUGGAAGGAGGAAACUCAGAGCAGAGUCCCCAGCUGACCAAAGUGGACGUGUGACCAGGAGAAGAAAUAAACCCUGUUGCCACGUGCCACUAGCAUUCUGAGGGUGUUUGUCACUGCAGCCCAACACAGCCCAUCCUGACUGGGUCACCAUCUUCCAAGGCUAUGGCAAAUGUCAGCUCCUCCAGUAAACCUCUCUUGUUCUUCUCCAACUAGUUUCACUUUUUUAAAAAAAUUCAAUACGUAGUUGGUCUAGCAUUUAAAAUCCAUCAGGCACUAUGUGAAGUGCUAGCAAGAAAGAGAUGAAAACGGCAUGAUUCUAUAAUUGGAAUUGUUACAAAUGUUGUUAAGAACGCAGAGUCUUAGGGCUUCCCUGGUGGCGCAGUGGUUGAGAGUCUGCCUGCCGAUGCAGGGGGUGCGGGUUCGCGCCCUGGUCCGGGAGGAUCCCACAUGCCACGGAGCGGCUGGGCCCGUGAGCCAUGGCCGCUGAGCCUGCACGUCUGGAGCCUGUGCUCCGCAACGGGAGAGGCCACAGCAGUGAGAGGCCUGUGUACCGCAAAAACAAACAAACAAACAAACAAAAAAAACCAACAACACAGAGUCUUAGAAGACUAUAUAACCCGAGAUCUCACCUACUCUCAAGGUUUCAGAAAAAUCCUCCUGAAAAAGGGGUAUUUGAAGCGGGCAGCCAUUGGACUAGGAACAGAUAAGCAUGCUCUUACCACCUUCUGCCCCCAGAGCAUUGUGCGUUUUCCUUUCUUGUCAUUGGUUAGAACUCAUUAGUGUAUAGGUGGCAUAAACAUAAUUUCAAAUGGCUUAAGCAAUAAAAGGGGGACAUACUUAUGGGCUCAUGUAGCAAUAAUAGCCAGAGGAGUGUUAGCUUCAGGCAUGGCUGGAUCCAGGGUCUGGUGUCACUAGAUCUCUGUCUCUCUAGCUCUCAGGAUCUCCCAGAUCAGUUUUACUCCAUGUUGGCUUUGUUCUCAGAUGGGUCCUUUCUCGAGUAAAUCAGAAGGCUGUCAGUUAAGUUUAGGUCAGUUCGUUAGAGAACUAAGCUCUGAGGAGGACAGAACCCUGGGAAACUUCCCCUAUUUUCUCUGAGAGGUCAUGGGGGCUUUGAAGAGCCUGCGUGUAUGUUUGGCAGCCACUCAUCCUGAAGCUGCUGACCCUUCACUCUCCACCCACCUUCCUGGCUUGACCGCCUGUCUCCACCACCACCUCCAACUGCACUUUCCAGCCUAACCUGCCUGCCUGCCCGGCCCAGCCGUUCUGGCCCCUUCAUCCUCUCUGCUUUGCUUGUACCUCUGUAGGCAGAGCUCCCUGCAAAAAGGAGCAGCAGCUUCUCUGUCUUGGGACCACACUACUUUGCACAGGGCAGGCAAAACUUAAAUAAUAUUUGCUAAUUGAACAGAAGGAAGGAGGGAAGGAGGAAGAAGAUUUGAACUUAUGUACAGACAGUCGACGUAAAACUACUGUAACCAAGCAGGACACUGUGGGGCCUUCCCAGGGCAGACACCUGCCACCCUCGUCCUCCACCUGCCUCUUGUCUGUAGGAAAACUUUAGCCAAAGAAUAAAUUUAAUCAGAGAAACAAGAAAAAGCAAAGGAAAGCAAUCAAACAAGACCCAAUAGUAAUAGUUUACCCAUUAAACAAAGUCAAGGACUUUUAGUUCCUCCUCAAGGGCUAUAGAUAAUAUUCUGAGCCAUAUCCUUUGAGCUGUUUCGCAGAUACUGAAACCCCCGCCAGGUGGAAGAAGUUAACCAUAUGCUGCCCACAAGCACGUAGACCCACACAGGUCGGAACCAGAAGUUUGAUGAUGCCAACUCCCGAUUACCUCCCCACCAACCCAUCAGAAGAAUGUCCCCAAGCUGAUCACAUACCCCUACAGCCUCUCCUUAGCAUGUAGCCCUUUUACUCUUUUCCCUGUAUAAUCUCUGAGCAAAACCUGGGAAGCGGGGAGUUGGUUUUAGGGGGACAUGGGUCCACCUUCUCCCCAGAAUUGCAGGCUUCCUCAAUAAAGCAAUCUUUUCUUUUACUCAA